UGGGGAAUAUUGCACAAUGGGCGAAAGCCUGAUGCAGCAACGCCGCGUGAGUGAUGAAGGCCUUCGGGUUGUAAAGCUCUGUCUUUUGGGACGAUAAUGACGGUACCAAAGGAGGAAGCCACGGCUAACUACGUGCCAGCAGCCGCGGUAAUACGUAGGUGGCAAGCGUUGUCCGGAUUUACUGGGCGUAAAGGAUGCGUAGGCGGAUUUUUAAGUGAGAUGUGAAAACCCUAAGCUUAACUUGGGGACUGCAUUUCAUACUGGAAAUCUAGAGUGCGGGAGAGGAGAAUGGAAUUCCUAGUGUAGCGGUGAAAUGCGUAGAGAUUAGGAAGAACACCAGUGGCGAAGGCGAUUCUCUGGACCGUAACUGACGCUGAGGCAUGAAAGCGUGGGUAGCAAACAGGAUUAGAUACCCCUGGUAGUCCACGCCGUAAACGAUGAGUACUAGGUGUAGGAGGUAUCGACCCCUUCUGUGCCGCAGUUAACACAAUAAGUACUCCGCCUGGGAAGUACGAUCGCAAGAUUAAAACUCAAAUGAAUUGACGGGGUCAUAGCUGUUUUCCU
rnacentral:rRNA from 1 species